AAAGAAUUAGUUAAAAUAUAACAUUAAAUUGUCAUUUUAAAAUUAUUAUUUAUAAUAAUACUCUUUC
rnacentral:tRNA from 1 species